GACGACGGGUAGGGGACCUGAGAGGGUGAUCCCCCACAAUGGAACUGAAACACGGUCCAUACACCUACGGGUGGCAGCAGUAGGGAAUAUUGCCCAAUGGACGAAAGUCUGAGGCAGCAACGCCGCGUGUGCGAUGAAGGCCUUCGGGUUGUAAAGCACUUUUCUGAGGGAAGAGGAAGGACGGUACCUCAGGAAUAAGUCUCGGCUAACUACGUGCCAGCAGCCGCGGUAACACGUAGGAGGCAAGCGUUAUCCGGAUUUACUGGGCGUAAAGCGCGUGCAGGCGGUUUGGUAAGUUGGAUGUGAAAGCUCCUGGCUUAACUGGGAGAGGUCGUUCAAUACUGCCAGACUAGAGGACGGUAGAGGAAGGUAGAAUUCCUGGUGUAGUGGUGAAAUGCGUAGAUAUCAGGAGGAAUACCAGAGGCGAAGGCGGCCUUCUGGGCCGUUCCUGACGCUAAGACGCGAAAGCAUGGGUAGCAAACGGGAUUAGAAACCCCGGUAGUCCAUGCCGUAAACGAUGCAAACUUGGUGUUGGUGGUGUAAAAGCCAUCAGUGCCGCAGCUAACGCGAUAAGUUUGCCGCCUGGGGAUUACGGCCGCAAGGUUAAAACUCAAAGGAAUUGACGGGUUCCCGCACAAGCAGCGGAGCGUGUGGUUUAAUUCGACUACGCGAAGAACCUUACCUGGGCUUGACAUAUAGGUGGUAGGAAGCCGAAAGGUGACCGACCCUUCGGGGAGCCUAUACAGGUGCUGCAUGGCUGUCGUCAGCUCGUGUCGUGAGAUGUCCGGUUAAGUCCGGUAACGAGCGCAACCCUUGCCGUAUGUUAUACGUGUCAUACGGGACUGCCGAUAUAAAAUCGGGGGAAGGCGGGGAUGACGUCAAGUCAGCAUGGCCUUUAUGUCCAGGGCUACACACACGCUACAAUGGCCAGUACAAUAGGUCGCAAAGCCGCGAGGCAGAGCCAAUCCUCAAAGCUGGUCUCAGUUCGGAUUGCAGGCUGCAACUCGCCUGCAUGAAGCCGGAGUUGCUAGUAAAUGCGCGUCAGCACAGUGCAUUGAAUACGUUCCCGGGAAUUGUACACACCGCCCGUCACGUCAUGGAAGCUGGAAACACCUAAAGUCGGUAUCCCAACCCCAACGGGAGGGAGCUGCCAAAGGUGGGGCUGGUAACUGGGACGAAGUCGUAACAAACCAGGUGUACCGGAAGGUGCGCCUGG
rnacentral:rRNA from 1 species